rnacentral:lncRNA from 1 species
GCUCUCAGUGCUGCUUGUAUUUGAUCAUAUCCUGGAUUGCAUCAACAGGGAGCAUCCAAAUGCAUCAUGAAAACAUGUAAAUUUUAAAACUGAAACAUACCUUCACCAAUGGGAGUAGAAUAGGGACAUACUAUAAGAUGUCUUAUAAAAGAAUAGCUAAAAUUAUAGCAAUGUUGGUCUUGCAAGUCACUAUGCUAGCGCAGCUUGAACUGUACUUUCUUUUCCCUGCAGUGAUGGGGAGCAAACCACCUCAGAUGAAAGGCAGAGUCAGCAUGCAUGCACAAAGAAGUUGAGCUUAUAAAAGGUAGAAAGCAAAUCAUAUCAGCAUGGAUGACUUGUUAAAACAUGUAGAACUUAGGAAAGAAUUUGUUUGCAAAGAUAUUUUAAGGUAGAAAGAUCUUUUUUUCCUGUUUUUUCUCCCCUAAAG